rnacentral:rRNA from 10 species
ACGCCCGAUCUCGUCUGAUCUCGGAGGCUAAG